rnacentral:tRNA from 1 species
GGUUAUGGCUCAGUGGUAGAGCACUCACCUCGCAAGUGCAAGGCCCUGGGAUCAAUCCUCAACACCA